UAGGCAUAGAAGCACCAGUCGCCCCCAUAUCUCUCUCUUCGAAGAAGUAGAAAAAUCUUCCAUCUUGCACAGAUCGCCCAUGGAGUCCUCUAGCCUGUACAACCGGGUGGUCUAAUCUUCGAAAGGGGAGUAGUCUCGUUGUUUGGUUUUGGUAUUGCGAGUUUGAAGAAGUUCCUUGGGUUGAUCAACUUUUCAGGGCUCAAUUUCUUCAUCUGGAAAAUGACUUUCACUGUGCUUAAAUAAGUUAUAACCAAGAUGAGGAGUUUGGUAAUGAGAUGCUUCAGUUUUCGCAAGGACGAGGAUAUUGAGAGGCAAGGUCCCAAGAAUGACGGCAUCAAUGGUUCAGAACAGGAGAUCAAAAUAAUAGAAAUGGCAAUUAGGUUGAUGGUCAACCCAGAUGAUCUGAUGGUCAAAAUUCCUUCAAUAACGAGGUUGAUCUAUUGGAAUGUGAUCCUUUUAGUGGUGUGCGUUGUUGCAGUAGCAGUGGAUCCUUUGUUCUUAUAUAUUCCCGUGAUCAACGAGGCUACCAAAUGCAUUACUAUAGAUAACACCUUACUAGUCAUUGCUAUUUGUGUGAGAUCGUUCCUGGAUUUGGUUGCUUGUUGGGAUUUUCUUGCUGGGCCAAUUGCAAGAAGUGGGUAUUACAAUUGGGUAGACCGCAUAAAUAACACUCUCAGCAUUCUUCCAGUAGCCCAGGUGCUAGUACCAAGAAUUUCUAAAAUGAGCGGUUCAAAACUCCGGAUUAUAAGGAAAUUCCUGAAUGCAGUUGUUUUUUUGCAAUAUUUGCCUAGAAUUUUCCGUAUCUACAGAUUGUGGAAAAUAGUCAAGACUACCAUCCUACCGAAAAGAAAUACAGGUUUAAUUAUGGUGAUGAAAGCUGGAUUGAAUCUCUAUCUGUAUCUGGUUGCCAGUCAUGCACUGGGUGCUUUUUGGUACUUCUUCUCCAUCGAACGAGAGACCACGUGUUGGCAGUUGGCCUGCGAGAGUGAUAUUGGAUGUAGCAAGAGUACUUCUUUAAACUGUGGUGAUGGUUUUGGAAAUUACACAUUUUUGAAUGAUUAUUGCUCUUUAGAAAAACUAAAUACCACUCUCUUUGAUUUUGGAAUAUUCCAAGAAGCCCGUAAAUCUGGUAUAUUGGCGUCCAUGGAUUUUCUCCGAAAGACUAUGUAUUGUUUUUGGUGGGGCCUUCGAAAUUUGAGUUCACUUGGUCAAAAUCUUGAAACAAGUUCUGAUUAUUGGGAAAAUUGCUUCACAGUUUUAAUCUCGAUCUUUGGCCUGCUUCUGUUUUUAUACUUCAUUGGAAAUUUGCAGGUGUACAUGCAGUGGGAUGCAUCUAGAGAAUUGGAGGACGCAUCUAAAGAAUUGGAGGAGAUAUCUAAGCAGCAUCAUGCGAUAUCAUUGCCCCUGCUCUUGCCCAUGCUAAGGAAAGUGCCAAUAUUCGAAAACGAAAGUGUAAAUUUCUUGUAUGAGAUCAGUAAGCUUUCCAAGCAAGUGCAGUACAAUCAAAACAACUAUAUUGUUCGAGAAGGAGAACCACUAGAUAUGAUGAUUUUCAUGGUGAAAGGAAUUGUGUGGACAUAUACAAGUAAUCAUGGUGAUAAAUCUGGUUGUCUUAAGAAAGGUGACCUCUUUGGAGAACAUCUUGUAGAAUGGCUGCUGGAAUCUCCCGGACUAUCCAACAUUCCCUUAUCAACAUGUACUCUCAAAUGUCAUACAAAAGUUGAAGCUUUUUGUCUUAUGGCUGGCGAUCUCCAGGAUAUGAUCAUAUCUCAAUACAGGUGGAAAUUUAGCAAUCUCAAGAACACCACCUGGCUAGUCUGACUCGGAAUAGCCAAAGCAUUUUGCAACUUCAACCAUCCAAGCAGCGUGGUGCUGACAUGCCAUCUAUCCGAAAAAAAUACGUACUUGAAUGAGACUCCAGAGUGGAAGCAAACAAUUUGUUUAGAGGAGUCUAUUGAAAUAAUUUGUUUCAGAAUGCCGCCAUAACCAAUGUCUAAGGCAUCUGUUUCAACAAUUUUGAAUGAAUCGGAAGUAGAAAUUCCAAGGCAUGGGAGAGUCUUGACAUGUGCCUUGAUCUAUUUAACAAGAUUGGUGUGAAUAUCUGACCAAACAGGAGGAUUAGUGUGCAACCUUUCAAACAAUGGUUUGCACUGUUUUCUCAUGUUUUGAUAGAAUUUAGCCACAUAGUUGAGUGAACCAAGAAAUCUUUGUAAUUGAUUUUUGUCAAUAAUGACAUCAAGGAAUUUGUCAGCAAAUUCUAUAGACCUGUUGAUGGGUCUAAUUUUGCUUUCAGAAAUAUCGUAACCAAGGAAUCGAAUCUUGGUUUAGAAUAAUUUGAUUUUCUUAGUAGAAACAAUAAGACCAUUUAAUCUAAUGAUGUCAAGAAAUAGGGGCAUUUUUUAGGCCAAAGAGCAUCACAUUCCACUCGUAGUGACUAAAGGGAGUGGUGAAAGCAAUUUUGUACUUGUCUGACUCACUGAUCUCGAUUUGCCAAAAUCCUGACUUAAGGUCAAACUUAGAGAAAACAAUGCUAUCAUUCAACCUAUGAAUUAAGUCAUUUUUGUUGGGGAUAGGGUACCUAAUCCACUGUAAGACUUUAUUCAAGGGUUUGUAAUUGAUUACUAGACGGGGGUUCCCUCUCUCAAUUUCUGCAUUUUUCUGGAAGUAAAAAGCAACACAAGACCAGGGAGACUUACUCGGUCUAAUAAUUUUCUUAGCAAGCAAAUCAUUGAUUUCUUUUUUACAAAAUUCUAAAGUUUUGCUACUCAUUUGAAUUGGGCGAGCUUUAGUGGGAAUAUUUUUCUCAAAGAAAUCUUUAACAUAUGGUAAAGAAACAACGCAUUUUUUCCUAUG